AGCCCUAAGAGGGUGGUAAACUCCAUCUAAGGCUAAAUAUGACCACGAGACCGAUAGCGAACAAGUACCGUGAGGGAAAGUUGAAAAGCACUUUGAAGAGAGAGUUCAAGAGUACGUGAAACCGUUUAGGGGUAAACCUGAGAAAUCCGAAAGGUCGAAGGGAGAAAUUCAUUCGCGUUUCGACGUAGACGUCGGUCGGUCGUGUGACGGAGAGUUCGUUCGCGAGCUUUUUCGCUCCUUCCGAUCUUUGACGAUUCGACGACGAACGUGUGCACUUUUCUCCUGGUAGGACGUCGCGAUUCGUUGGGUGUCGGUCUACGGCUCGCGGUGGAGCCCGUUCUUGCGGGAGUAAUUUCUCGUAUUGACACGGACCCGCGGGAGUUAUCAUCCGGCUGACUCGCUCGACGGUAUACGAAAGGUUUAAGGCCGCUGCUACUGCUGCUAGUUUUUGCUAGUAGGAGAGAGCGUUCGACUCGCGGCAAGCGCGCCGAAUGUGUCGGCGAUCGGACCCGGUGCCGAUUCUGACCUUCGGUGACUGUUGGCUGCGAAUUGUUCUCGAACAGACCUUCAGACCGAUCUGCGACGCUAUAGCUUUGGAUACUUUCAG
rnacentral:rRNA from 1 species